CGCACAUUGCGCCCAUUAGUAUUCUAGUGGGCAUGCCUGUUCGAGCGUCAUUUCAACCCCUAAGCCUAGCUUAUUGUUGGGAACCUACGCCUUCGUAGUUCCUCAAAGACAUUGGCGGAGUGGCAGUAGUCCUCUGAGCGCAGUAAUUCUUUAUCUCGCUUUUGUUAGGUGCUGUCCCCCCGGCCGUAAAACCCCCCAUUUUUUCUGGUUGACCUCGGAUCAGGUAGGAAUACCCGCUGAACUUAA
rnacentral:misc_RNA from 1 species